CGCAAGACUUCAAAUUUAACUUAAAAACGUUGUUUUGGCGCCAAGCUGCUGUUUCUUUGAGAGGUAAGACCACUUUUUUCUUUGACUAUGUUGUGUAGUAUCUACAUGUCGAGCAUGGUUAUAUUUUGCGUUUGUCUUAUAAGACAUGUUAUAUCGUUUGCGUGCGCUUGUUCUACAUUAGUUUUACUGGGUCCUGGACAUGCUUAUUUUGUGGACUGUAUCCUGCCUUUACCUGCUCCCUCCUAUACUGAUGUGGUGUAUGUGGUACCGCUGAGCUUGUAUGUGAUCUGAACCAUUGUAAAGGUUGCAGUUCAAGGGCCUGAGGUGGAAGCAGAAUUUGUGAGGAUUACUACUGCUCCACUUGUUCCAAGGCUUUUUGCACAACUUGACCAAUACACUGACCAGCUCAUAAAAGUCUUCAAGAAAAAAGGAGGCACUGCAGUGAAGAAAAUUAGACAAAUUUUGGCCCCAGCCACACAGGAAACUAUUGAAAAGGGGAGGGAGUGUGUCCUCAGGGCACUACCUUUCUACCUGAAUGAAGACCCAAGCAUCCUCUUCAAAGAAUAAUUGCUACAGCUACAGCUUUUCAGAGGGAGCUGGAACAAAUUGCCCUUGCUAUCUUCACUAUUGAAAAAGCUGAUGUCAGCACUCCUCCAGCCGAUGUGGGUAUAACCAUCUAGGGUGUUCUGCAUGACCUGGAAGACAUGGCCUCUGCAUGUGCACUCUUAAUGGGUGGGAUAUAUGCACUGAAUCUCAGUUAACCUCGAGACUGAAAGCUUUCUUUGAAGUACUUCAGAAGCUCUUCCUUCAUCUGUAUGUCAGCAGACUCUUGACCAAGGUACAGAUACUCAAGAAUAAACUGAACGAAUAAGCCAAUCCUUAAUUUGGAUGAUGAAUGUUCUGUCAGAUGGACAGAAGUUUUUCAGAGGCUGAAUGGGAAUAAAACGGUAAUUUGUUGAAAAUGACAGA